AAUAAUAAUGGAUGACUUCGCGUUUGUACAGCUGCUGCUUCUCGGCGCUUAAAAAUGGCGAUCUUUCAUGGUCUUGUUAUUGUUGUUGGUCUUAACAACUCCGCCCCCCCCGCUGACGUAAGCGGUUCUUUCCUCUGGCCCAGCAGAGAGUUGGUGCUAGCCUGGAACCGGCUUGGACUGAUAAAAGAAACAGACUCUCUGUUACAAUGGUGAAGGCUGAGCUUCAAGUCAGGCUAAACUUUCAGUUGUCCUGUACUGAGUUCAAGACAUUCAUUGAAAAUCAGCCAGGACUCAUAGCAGCAGCAAAGAAAAACACCAAAUAUAAAUGGAAGAUUAGCCAAGAGCAGCAGAGGCACAGGCAAGCACAAGCAAAGCACACACCACACUCUAAGCAAUCAGUUGUCCACAACCAAAAACUGUUGGAAAUAAACCAAAAUACUGAAGACCUAGCCUAGUAAACUAGACCCACCCGCCUAGCGGCCAAAAAUAUUUUUGCCUAGCGAGUGGGUCUAGCCUCGCACCAUGUAAACAAAAACACUC